AACUGAGAAACCUUUAAGUUGGUUCAUAUAAAUUUCAUUUUCAAGUUUUUCAUGUAGAAAGGCUGUUUUCACAUCUAUUUGGUGCAACUCUUAAGUCAUAAUGAGCCAUCAAUGCUAUGAUAAUUCUCAAUGAGUCAUUCUUUGAGACUGGUGAAAAUAUUUCUUUAUAGUCAACACCAUCCUUCUAAGUAUAACGCUAGGCAACAAGUCUUGCUUUAUAUUGU
rnacentral:misc_RNA from 1 species